GGGCCCGCACAAGCGGUGGAGUAUGUGGUUUAAUUCGAUGCAACGCGAAGAACCUUACCAGGGUUUGACAUCCUGCGAAUUUCUGGGAAACCGGAAAGUGCCUUCGGGAGCGCAGUGACAGGUGGUGCAUGGCUGUCGUCAGCUCGUGUCGUGAGAUGUUGGGUUAAGUCCCGCAACGAGCGCAACCCACGUCUUUAGUUGCCAGCAUUUAGUUGGGCACUCUGAAAGAACUGCCAGUGAUAAGCUGGAGGAAGGUGGGGAUGACGUCAAGUCCUCAUGGCCCUUACGUGUUGGGCUACACACGUGCUACAAUGGCAUUUACAAUAGGAAGCAAGAUGGCGACGUCAAGCAAAUCCUAAAAAGAUGCUC
rnacentral:rRNA from 1 species